AUAAGUCUGAUUGACAAUGGGUACGCUGACCAAUCAGCAUGCACAUUUUUAAAUAUUAAUGGGGAGAGUCGUUGUAUAAUUAAAGAUUUACCUUUGAUGUCUGAGAGUGAGUGCUUUAUUAUGUAUUUUUACUAGGGAAGGGUCCUGCUUGUUGACAAUGGAUGUGUGAAACCUCAUAAAAGCUAUUUAUCUUAGGAAAGAAAAGGUCUGUGGAUUAUGCAAAAAAAUAACAUAGUAACAUCUGGUGCUUACAAUAAUUCUAGAAAAAGGAAAGAAGUAUGUUCACAUCUUGUAUGGAGAAUGCAUGGUUACAUAUGGGAGAUAAAAGUAUCUAGACAACUAAUCAAAUACAACAUUUGCAAAAGCCAUUUUAUCAAAACCUUUUCAUCAUAUUCAGUGGUGUAUUGAAUUAAAGACUGAAUGCAUAUGUGUGGUAUUUGCUCUUUUGGGAUUAGAUUUAAGGUCAUGCUCAGGUUUAGGAUAAGAGGGACAGAGUUAGAUUUAAGGUUAUGCUCAUGUUUUGAUAAGAGGGAUAGAGUUACAUUUAAGGUCAUGCUCAGGUUUAGGAUAAGAGGGACAGAGUUAGAUUUAAGGUCAUGCUCAAGUUUUGAUAAGAGGGAUAGAGUUAAAUUUAAGGUCAUGCUCAGGUUUAGGAUAAGAGGGAUAGAGUUAGAUUUAAGGUCAUGCUCAGGUUUAGGAUAAGAGGGAUAGAGUUAGAUUUAAGGUCAUGCUCAAGUUUUGAUAAGAGGGAUAGAGUUAGAUUUAAGGUCAUGCUCAGGUUAAGGAUAAGAGGGAUAGAGUUAGAUUUAAGGUCAUGCUCAGGUUUAGGAUAAGAGGGAUAGAGUUAGAUUUAAGGUCAUGCUCAAGUUUAGGAUAAGAGGGAUAGAGUUAAAUUUAAGGUCAUGCUCAGGUUUAGGAUAAGGGGGAUAGAGUUAGAUUUAAGGUCAUGCUCAGGUUUAGGAUAAGAGGGAUAGAGUUAAAUUUAAGGUCAUGCUCAGGUCUGGGAUAAGUGGGCUAGAAUUAGAUUUAAGUGUAGCAGGCAUUUUGCUCUGCAUGAGAAAGUACAAAGCUGCAUACCUCACAAGGAAUUUUGUCCAUAAUUAUCUGUGUUUGUGUUUUGAUAAUUUUUGUUGAAGCAUCUUUACAAGGAAUUGAUUUUUGAUUUUGGUGCAGUAUGAUUAUGUGUAUUCACUGGAGCUGUCCUGACUGAUUUUGUAGUCAAAUAUCUGACAUGGAAGUACAGUCCAUAGAGCACACUGUUUUCACACUUCAUCAUUCAUGAACACUAAUAAAUGCUUGAAAUGAGAGGCAAUAACUUUUAAGUUUGUCUGCUUAUAGGUGUAUAUAGUUAGGCACCUUAUGGUCCCAUGAUCACAUGCUCAGUAUGUUUCUAUGUUCCUAUAUAUAUAUUGUUGCAAUAUAAAGUCAUUCUACUUUUCUUUUUCAGUUUUUCCACAUCAGUGUUCCCAUGAUUUUAGUUCCAGUCAAUUCUUUAAAUUUAUGCAUAAUAGCGAGUGUGCAUUCAUAGCUCAUCUGUGCUAAAUUCAUGUAAAGACACUUAGGCACACAAACACACACACACACACACACACACACACACACACACACACACACACACACACACACACACACACACACACACACACCUUAAGAAAGAGCCAAAAGGAUGUAGAUUUAUUAAUCAGAGAGGCUGCACAAGUCUUGCAACUCCUUUGCAGCUGACCCAUCUCUUCCACAUGCCAUCACUACUACACCCUUCUCCCUCCAACAUUAUUGAACGUCUCAUAUGACCUACACUUUAUUACUUUGACUAUGCACCCUAAGACCUCACCACCAUCUCUGUGAAACAGUAUUUUGUUAUGUCACCCAUGACUUGUCAUACCUUGGAGGCUGAAAUUCCCUCUACUAACUGUACAUCACCUUCAGCUCCAUCCCAUUAACUUGUUGCCAACAGAGACAUCUAUCCAUAACAGAGCCUCACUUGUUCUUUUCUCUUACAGUCAUAGCUCUCAACCUCUUUCCUUUAAUGUCAGGGACAGUGCUAAAAACAAUUAGGCACAAAGGCCCAACAACAGAUCAUAGACACUUAAAAUAUUGACAGUAUUCACAUAGAAAGUUGAAUGUAUAAAAGGAUUUGUAUUACUAUGUUUAUUUUAUUUGUUUUAUUUUACAUUUGUGAUGAGGAUAGUCUGACUUGAAUGAACCCCUUUCAAGAGGGGUCCCAGAUAGAAAAGCUGUAUUAAAUACUACAAUAAGCUAAAAUAGAGAAGGAUUAUAGUACAACAAAACUGUAAACGGAGUAAUACAUUAGCAAGAGUAUAUACAAGAAGCAGAAUACAUCAAGUGUAGAUUACAGAGAUUACAGGAAAUAAUAGAAAUACAUUGGUAAAAGCAAGUGGCAAGCAUUAAUAUACAAGGAGAGGAUGUCUGAUCCAAAAAUGCUAGCCAGUAUGGUCAUAGUGUCCUUGAUAUGUAUGUCCAAGUAAUAAACCUGAGAAAAAAGUAAUGAUAAUGAUAAUAAUAAUAAUAAUAAUAAUAAUAAUAAUAAUAAUAAUAAUAAUUCAUUAAUAUACAAAUAAAGGUUGUUCAAACCAUCAGAUGCUGAGUAGCUCAGUUGACAGUGUAUUUGUGCUUAAACCCAUGGAAAAACUACCAAGAAAAUGGUGAAGAGAAACAUAUUUAGCAGAAGGCGGGGGAGCUGGUGAGAAGGAAAUGAACUAGGCAGAUGGAAGGGAGAGGUAUACCCUACCUUACUACAGGAAGAAAGAGUAAGUUAGGAGAAUGAAAGAAAGAUGGAAGUAGAUGUUGGAGCUGAGGAGGGAAGGUAAGUGAGGAAGGGGUAUACAGAAACUGUCCUGUAAGAGUUGUAUAUUUUCUGAUGAGCAAAAUGUCUGCAAAUGUAAUGUCUAGAUUUAUGUAGUGACUUCAGCCUUUACUGUUUUAAAAGGUCACAAAUUUUAUGACGCACAGGGCAAAAUUUAGUAGCAAAACCGAGGACAUCUCUGAAAAUCAGGGACAGUUGAGAGGCAUGUUUCCAGUGUGAAAACACCAGGUUUUCUGCGUCUUCCUUCACAUCUCAGCUGCUCCAUUUCCUUUACCAUCUUGAUACUUUCCCAUUGCACAUUUAGACAGAUCUACUCACCUUUCAUCUCUUUCAGUCUACCAGAUGUAAUCCAGAUGUGCUCCUUUCAGUACCGUGAAUAAUAUGAGUAUGUUUAUAGCAUCUGUUUGGUCCAUUCUGUUAGCUGUAUGUGUCAUCAUUCUUUUGACUUUUAGUACUUCUCUUUUCAUAAUGUGCUUUAUAGUUAAAGGAUGAUUAUGUCACCCAGAUAUUUUUAUAUUUAGUCUUUGCUAGGACCAUCCAUUCCAACAUGUAUGUUUUCCUGAAUCACACCACCAAAAGUAGAAAACUACUAUAUGAUACAUCAGUGGAGGCUAGGUCCUCUAUACUUUUCUUCUACAGUAGCACUGGCAUAUUAAGCAAACAGAUUUGCCUUCAUCUCCUGCCCCGGUACAAUAUAAGUAUGCUAAACAAGCUGACAUAAGUACUGAAUCCUGAAACUUCAUUGAGCCCUUGGUUUCAUCCAUAUAGCUCUUUCUUAAUUGUAAUCCCAUGCUUCUAAUCGCGUACCCAUUUCCCUAUACAUUGAAUGGAUUUUGUCUCAAUCUCAUACCAUUAAUUUUGUUAUCAACAUCAUGUGAGGCAUAAUAUCAGAGACCUUCCUAAACCUGCUAUAACACAGUCACAGAAUUUCCACUGUCCACUGUGUCAAGUCACUGAUUCACAGACCUAGAUCAGUAAUGGCUGACAGGACAACUGCUACAUGGAGUCUUGCUGUUUUUAUCAAUACUAGAAUUAACAAUUAGAAUCUCCUCCAGUUGCCUAACAUGCAGAACUUUUUUCUAGAAUCUUCUUUAAGAUGUAAAAUUAAUGGGUAUGAGCAUAACGUACUCCUGCUGUUAUUUUUUCCAGGGGGGGAUUAACCUUAGCACCUUCCAGUCCUGCAGAGCAAUUCUAGUUUCUGUGAAGAAACUGUACAAGUUAGCCAGUGGUCAGCCAAGCACCACUGCCAGUUCUUUUAGUCCCUAGAAAGGAAAUUAUCAGGAAUUUGCACCAUAUCUCCCAAAGUCUCUUAAUUUCUCUAACUCCUAAGCGUUCACUUUCUUAUCAAUCAUUUUGUCCCCAUUCCUACUUUACAUUUCCAUACUAAUAUCUCUGUCCUGCAUUCCUUCAUACAAGCUGGUGUGAAGAAUUCAUACAGUAGUUUAGCCUAAUGUCUACCUUUCUUAAAAUUCUUCUCUGUCUUAGUAACCCAGGACCCUGUAGCUUCAAUCAGCUUUCCUUACUGUAGUUGAAGAAUUUUUCAGCACUUCCCAUGCCAUCUCCUUCCGUUAAGUUGUUUUAGCCUAUAAAUUCACAAUGAUGUUUUAUCCACUACAUAGAUCAUGUUCUGCUACCACACAUUGUCCAUCUUUAAUGCCAUCUGCAUUCAUUUAUUGCACCCAUAUCUGUGUCGUGACUGGAGCAGUUGUCACCUUCCCCAUAUAUCCUUAGGUUAUUAGAUGAUUACAUACCCAUUUUUAAUCUCCCAGAUGCACCCCCUCAGUUUUUCCACUAUCAUCAUUUUCAGUCAGCCAGACACAUUCUGUGACACUGUUCUCCCUACACCAUUGAUUUUUCCCACCUUCCAAGGUCAGGCCUUUGUCUUUGUUGUACUUUCUGCAGUACUUCCGAGAAGGUGAAUGCACAGUAGCAUGAUCAUAGCGUUGUCACCUCAUUCUUACAGGUGAGACCUGUGUGAAGGCUGUUAGCCUUCCUUAAUGGGGUACGGGCUCCUCACUUUCAGCUUCUAUGUAAGCAUUUUCCAUUUCUCUCACUACAAACUGUGAGAAGGAGAAAAUAAAGUGCUCACAACACUAUUUCUCCUUUUCUUUGACAUUAUUCUUUCCCACCCGGGCCUGUCUUCAUUUUUUUCUCCUGCAUCUGUUGACCUAUUUACUGUACCAACCUACUAAAUGACCUCUACUUCUCCCCAAGCCUCAAGUAUGACACGGCGGCCUACACUUUUUCAUAAUAAGUUCUCUAGACAGCACAUUCGAUUCCAUCCUGAGAGCACACUGCCUCCCCUGCUUCUGCUUUUGCACUCUGCCUGUUCAUGUAUUGUACCCUUACUUCUGGCAUGACAAACCGAACAUUUACAACUUGAUUUUUAGCGCCCAAAACCAGGUUGCCACCAUGGCACAGUGACUAUGUAGUCUAUGCCUUGAGUUUAUUUACAAUGAGUUUUCAUCAAGACACUGUAUGCAACUGAUUUGUGCAAUUGCGAUCAUUUUUGUGGCACUUUCAGCAUCACUUUACAUUUUACACUUGCUCUCUUCCAACAUCAAUUUCCUACUGAUUCCUUAGUUCACUUUCUGUCCCAUGCACAUACUGUGCACCAUCUAUAAAGACAUUUUUUUACUUUCCUUUCCUCUAAUUAAUUCAAAUUGUCGAUAUUUAAAUUAAUAUAAUUUUCCAGCCCACCUUACAAUGCCCCUUGCAAUCUAUACUUUGAGUAUUGCAUUAUAAUUUUGUUAAUUUUUUUAUAAGGUAGUAGAUUUAUAUAUGAGUUCAGAUUAAUGUAAUAAACCUGUAAACUGUUCAUCCAGAAAGGAAAAUAUGCUGCAUAAAAUAAAAAUAUUAAAUUCUGCAUUUAAUUUUAGAUUGCUUCUACAAAACUUUAGCACAGAUUUUUUAUUUUUUUAAUUUUACUGAAUUGUUAUUUGGCUGUUAGGUAGAAUGUACAUCUCUUUUAAAAUAUGUUUUAAUAUUCACAUAAGUGAAUAAUUCACUUUAGAAGAAAUCUAUGGAAUGGUUCAUACUGAAAAGAGUAAAACCAUAUCCUGUCACAAUGUGUAAACUACAAAUGUAAAUAACAUUCUCACCGAGUCAUUUGGGUGUAAGAGUUUCUGCUGAACUUGGAAACAUAUUACAAGGAAAAUGAGCAAGUCCAACACAUUUAUCUGAGCUUAUUUCACUAUAGUGUAUCAUAAAUAAAUUUUAAAAAUGUUAAGACCAAAUCUUGAUGAUUUUUAAAUAUGUUUAAAUGUGUAUUGCAGCGUACUUCUAAUAAUAUUACUGGACACUAUAUUACCAUCCCACUGCUGAGACUUGACAGUUACAAGUAAGAAUGAGUUUUAUGACAAAUGACUUCUCUGUUCAUACACACUACCUAAAAUAUCACUGCAUAGCAGAGAAAUAAAUGCUUUUUCUCAUACACUGUGACAACUGCCAUUUUGGCACGUGUUGUGUCUGUUAAAUUAGAAGGAACUUAUGUGCCAUAAUUGAGUGUCAUUUUUAACUAAAGUGAAGUGUUGAUAUGUUGUCCACUGGAAACUUGCAGCCAUUUGCAGGAAUGGUUGCUCAGUCUUCCUAGGUGUCUAAUGUUGUUUUCUUAUCCUUAUGUUUUUAUUAAAUGUGUUAUUCACUGUCAAGCCAUUUUCCUUACUGAACUGUUUGUUUUAUAUGCUUGUGAUACAGUUUAAUAACAAUGUGCCUACACAUAUAUUGAUUAAACAAACAUUAAUACAA